rnacentral:rRNA from 1 species
UAGAGCUUGAUCAUGGCUCAGAUUGAACGCUGGCGGCAGGCCUAACACAUGCAAGUCGAGCGGUAGAGAGAAGCUUGCUUCUCUUGAGAGCGGCGGACGGGUGAGUAAUGCCUAGGAAUCUGCCUGGUAGUGGGGGAUAACGUUCGGAAACGGACGCUAAUACCGCAUACGUCCUACGGGAGAAAGCAGGGGACCUUCGGGCCUUGCGCUAUCAGAUGAGCCUAGGUCGGAUUAGCUAGUUGGUGAGGUAAUGGCUCACCAAGGCGACGAUCCGUAACUGGUCUGAGAGGAUGAUCAGUCACACUGGAACUGAGACACGGUCCAGACUCCUACGGGAGGCAGCAGUGGGGAAUAUUGGACAAUGGGCGAAAGCCUGAUCCAGCCAUGCCGCGUGUGUGAAGAAGGUCUUCGGAUUGUAAAGCACUUUAAGUUGGGAGGAAGGGCAUUAACCUAAUACGUUAGUGUUUUGACGUACCGAC